GCUUCUCGGAGGUCUUCAUGCUUGGUGGACCGCAAGGUGGUUGGGUGGCCAAGAUAGUACCUGUCAACAAGUCCACUAUAGGCCUGGCUUCCGAGGUGCUUAUCGCGAGAGAACUGAACAAUCUGCGGCACAGGGACGAUUUCAGAACAGAAGUGUUCGCGAAGCUGCUCGGUGUGUUGCAGGGCAAAGUGCAUCAGAGAUAUGUAUCCAAGUGUGCUCCUCGAAAACCAAAGGAUGGUGCGCGG